UUUGGGGUUAUCCUAUAACCCUAUAGGGUUGAUCAAAUCAAAUCCAAAAUGAGUCAAAUUAAAUUCAAUCAAAUUAGACUUGAUACAAGCCCCAUUGCUCAAUCAAAUUGAGCUCAUUAGUAAUUUUAUUGUUAAUUAAUCCUCCUAUAACUCACUAACUCUUUAGUGAGUUACAUAAUGCAAUAUUUGCAUUAGAUCAAUUAUCAAUCAAAUUGAUAAUCAAUUUCUGUUACGAUUCAUAAUUAUAAUUCAACCAUCUGAUCAAUCAAAAGUCUCUUUGUGUGUGACCCC
rnacentral:lncRNA from 1 species